ACAGGAAUAAAAACGCAACGAGCAUUUUGUAAUGCUCCAGAGCCGGUAGGUAGCCCGGCCGUCUCAUCCGCAGGAUGAGGGAAGUAACCUGCCCCUCCGGGUUGUCCGUUUCUUGUCCAU
rnacentral:ncRNA from 1 species